CGUGUAGGCGGCGCGGUAAGUUGGGCGUGAAAUCCCCGAGCUUAACUCGGGUGGGCCGUUCAAGACUGCCGUGCUAGGGUGCGGGAGAGGGAAGUGGAAUUUCCGGUGUAGCGGUGGAAUGCGUAGAUAUCGGGAGGAACACCUGCGGCGAAGGCGGCUUCCUGGACCGUAACCGACGCUGAGGCGCGAAAGCUAGGGGAGCAAACAGGAUUAGAUACCCUGGUGGUCCUAGCCCUAAACGAUGAGCACUGGGUGUGGCCCCUCACGGGGCCGUGCCGAAGCUAACGCAUUAAGUGCUCCGCCUGGGGAGUACGGUCGCAAGGCUGAA
rnacentral:rRNA from 1 species